rnacentral:tRNA from 1 species
GCCCAAGUGGUGGAAUUGGUAUACACGCACGACUCAAAAUCGUGUGGCGCAAGCCAUGAGAGUUCGAGUCUCUCCUUGGGCA